rnacentral:rRNA from 1 species
UAACCUGGUUGAUCCUGCCAGUAGUCAUAUGCUUGUCUUAAAGACUAAGCCAUGCAUGUCUAAGUUUAAGUAAUAAACAGCGAAACUGCGAAUGGCUCAUUAAAUCAGUUAUAAUCUACUCGAUCAACACUAUUUUUACUCGGAUAACUGUAGUAAUUCUAGAGCUAAUACGUGCAUAAACACCCGACUUCACGGAAGGGUGGCGCUUGUUAGAUACAAAAACCGGCCGCAGCAAUGCGAGCUUUGGUGAUUCUAGGCAAGAUAGCAGAUCGCAUUACCUUGUGUAGGCGACAGUUCGAUCGAGUUUCUGCCCUAUCAACUUGAUUGUAGUGUAUUGGACUACAAUGGUGAUAACGGGUGACGGGGAAUUAGGGUUCGAUUCCGGAGAGGGAGCCUGAGAAAUGGCUACCACUUCCAAGGAAGGCAGCAGGCGCGCAAAUUACCCAAUGUCAAUUCGACGAGGUAGUGACAAUAAAUAACAAUCCCGAGCCUUCUAGGCCUGGGAAUUGGAAUGAGUACAACGUAAAUAACUUAACGAGGAACCAUUGGAGGACAAGUCUGGUGCCAGCACCCGCGGUAAUUCCAGCUCCAAUAGCGUAUAUUAAAGUUGUUGCAGUUAAAAAGCUCGUAGUUGGAUUUGCAGCGUUUAGUCGGGCCGAGAGGAUGGUUGGACCUUUACGGUAUCCGGUUCUGCGCUCUACGUUCGGUUAUUGAAUUCUGGUCUUAACUGGCUGGUUUUCGGUUCCGGACCGUUUACCUUGAAUAAAUUAGAGUGUUCAAAGCAGGCUUUUAGCCUUGAAUAGUUUAGCAUGGGAUAAUGGAUAUGAUCCUAGCUUAGUUCGUUGGUAACCUGAGCUAGGAUAAUGAUUAAUAGAGAUAGUCGGGGUUAUUCAUAUUCAAUUGUUAGAGGUGAAAUUCUUAGAUUCUUUGAAGAUGAACUGCAGCGAAAGCGUUUAACAAGGAUGCUCUCAUUAAUCAAGAACGAAAGUUAGGGGAUCGAAGACGAUCAGAUACCGUCGUAGUCUUAACUAUAAACGAUACGAAUCGAGGAUUGGAUGUUGUUAAUCGUACGACUCUUUCGGAACUUUAGGGGAAACCUUUGAAUCUUUGCGUUCUGGGGGGAGUAUGGUCGCAAGGCUGAAACUUAAAGGAAUUGACGGAAGGGCACACCAGGAGUGGAGCCUGCGGCUUAAUUUGACUCAACACGGGAAAACUUACUAGGUCAGAACAUGGUUAUGAUUGACAGAUUGAUAGCUCUUUCUUAAUUUCUAUGGGUGGUGGUGCAUGGCCGUUCUUAGUUGGUGGAGUGAUUUGUCUGGUUAAUUCCGAUAACGAACGAGAUCGCAUCCUACUAAAUAGUGGCGUUAACCGUCUACCGGGUGAAGGCUGUUGGCUCUGGAGGGCUGGGAAACUGGCUUCUUUGGACUGGUGGUUGGAUCCUUGAUGCGUUGGCGUCAUUAAUACUUCUUAGAGGGACUGUCGGUGAUUAACCGAAGGAAGUGCGGCAAUAACAGGUCUGUGAUGCCCUUAGAUGUCCUAGGCUGCACGCGCGCUACACUGUCUCGUACAAUGAGUUUUUUGCUGGUCCGAAGGUAUUGGCGAAUCUUGUGAAUGCUUGACGUGAUGGGGAUUGAUCAUUGCAAUUAUUGGUCAUGAACGAGGAAUUCCUUGUAGGUAUGCUUCAUCAAAGCAUGCCGACUACGUCCCUGCCCUUUGUACACACCGCCCGUCGCUCCUACCGAUUGAGUGAUCAGAUGAAAUCCGCGGAUUUGGGCUUGGUUCGCCUCGUCUGGAAAAGUAGAGUAAAUCUUAUUGCUUAGAGGAAGGAGAAGUCGUAACAAGGUUUCCGUAGGUGAACCUGCAGAAGGAUCAA